CCUACGGGAGGCAGCAGUGAGGAAUAUUGGUCAAUGGGCGAGAGCCUGAACCAGCCAAGUCGCGUGAGGGAGUACUGCCCUAUGGGUUGUAAACCUCUUUUUUCGGGGAGCAAAAGCCGGACGUGUCCGGCUGUGAGCGUACUCGAAGAAAAAGCAUCGGCAAACUCCGUGCCAGCAGCCGCGCUAAUACGGAGGAUGCGAGCGUUAUCCGGUUUUAUGGGGUUAAAGGGGUUCGCAGGGGGAUUUUUAAGUCAGCGGUCAAAUCGUGGGGCUCAACCCCAUCCAGCCGUUGAAACUGGGGAUCUUGAGUGUGCGAGAGGUAGGCGGAAUGCGUGGUGUAGCGGUGAAAUGCAUAGAGAUCGCGCAGAACCCCGGUUGCGAAGGCAGCAUACCGGUGCACAACUGACGCUCAGGCACGAAAGCGUGGGUAUCGAACAGGAUUAGAUACCCUGGUAGUC
rnacentral:rRNA from 1 species